GGGUAUUGCUGGGAGAGACCCAUGGCCACUGACCCCUCUUUCUGGAGCAGGGUCUCCCAGACCCCAGCAGAGUAUCCUCCGAGGUGCAGCAGAUGUGGGCACUGACAGAGAUGAUCCGGGCCAGUCACACGUCGGCGAGGAUUGGCCGCUUUGAUGUGGAUGGCUGUUAUGACCUGAAUUUGCUCUCCUACACUUGAAUGAUGGCUCCUAGCCAAGACAUUGGCCUUUCCGUGUCCACCCAGGCUUGGUUUGGGCCACCAGAGGCCGAAGUGUGUUCCCUGUGCAUUCUGAAUGUUGCCUGCAUGCCUGUUUUGUCUGGGUCACAUUCACAGAUUCAAGUUCCUUAAGGGCUUACUGUGUUGCUUCAGCAUGAGCUCCUGACAGGGGCUGUCUGUCUUUGCCUGGCUGCCACCCAAUUCUUCUUUCUUCUACCCUAAAAACACUCCACUUCUACUUAGUAAGAAUCCUCGAGUGCCCUCUGCCCUCCUGCCAACACAUACACCCCUGUCUUCUGCCUGCUCCCUCACCCUCAGUGCAAUUCCACUACUCUGAUGCACUAGAACCUGCUCCAUCUAACCUGAAAGGCCAAGAUUAGGAGUUUUAAGAAACAGAAACCCCAUUUCUUCCUUUGCGCCCCCUAGUGGCCUCCUUUCCCUUUGUGUUGUGCCACAAAAAUAAAUGUCUAAACUCUUCUGAUGCUUGCCUAGGAAGCAAAGCUGAGGAUUUGGGUGUCCUGAGUUCCUCGGUCCUUGAACUAGCUCCUGGAUGGAUGUUCAAAUGGGUGUGCCCAUUAGGCCUGGGCCGGUUCCUCUGGCAAGGCUGGGACCUUAGAAUGAGAGCUGGGACCUGUCUGCCAUCUGACACAGCCCAAAGCACAUCCAUGUCCCUUCUCCCAGUUGCCCCUUUCCAAGAGUCAUGAUGAGGGGUCAACUUUGGUGUGGGGGUAGGUCCAAGUAAGGGUUCUCAUUGGUGCCUUUUAAGAGGCAGGGGUCCUCCAUUACCUUUGACUAACCACUGAAUGAUGCGGGCUGCUCUUCAUGUGAGAAGCUUGUGAGAAAAUCCUGUUUCCUUCUGGUUCUUCCUGGCUUUGCCUCUGGGGACUAUUAUGAAGCAGUACUGCAAUGUCUGGGACCUGGAAAAUUGGACAUGUGUGUGACCCAACAGUUUCCUGGGGGAAAUUCAGCAGCCUUUUAAUGGUCACCCUCUGCUCUCACUCGAGUUCUCACUUACUUAGUUCCACUCAUGUUCUGAAAGGGUGAUGACCAUAACCCUGUGUUCAGGGAGCAAUGUGUGUGUUUGUGAGUAAAGAGGAUACCACGGUGGCAGGGACCAUGCUUCAUUCACAGCUGUGCCCCCAGCACAGGGCCUGGUUGUGCAACAAGAUCAAUAAAUACCUGUGGAAUGAA